CCCACUCUACUAUUCCUCUCCAAAAUGAAUGGUAAUUGAUCACAAUGCAUGAUUAGGGUGCUGCUCUGGUCUCCAUUGGAGCUCAGGACUUGAAGUCCCAAACACUCGUCAUCAAUUCAGGUCACAGCAGCUUGUGAGAGGACGAAGAAUGGGAAUAAAAGGCCUUUUGCCCCUUUUCAAGUCGAUAAUGGCGCCCAUCCGCAUCAACGACUUAGAGGGCUGUCGUGUUGCCGUUGAUGCUUACUCUUGGCUCCACAAAUGCGCUUUGGCCUGCAGUAGUGAGCUUUGCAAAGGAUUACCCACCUCCAUGUCCCUGCUCCUUUUCUCUAUCUGUACUCAUAAAGGAACGUAGUAGCUGAGAUGGAAUUUUAAAGAGGGAUGAAGUAUUCACACAUUUGCAUGGAUGUGGUACUGAAUAUACAAAAAUUAGAGCUAAUGGUGUGCUGACGGCAAUAGAUCUCAUCCGUGUUUUAAUUAAUUUGAGCUAUUUCUUUCCUCAUAGUUCCUAUUUUGUUUGCAUUUUGGUCUUUCUUUCCAAUUUUCCUUAAUGUCCACAAGGCUUUGCAUCUCUGGAAGCAAAGAGAGAUUUCUGGGCUCCUCGAAUAUCACCUAUAAAUCCAAGUCCAGUAGAUAAAUCUUCUCUCAAUCCCAAGGAAUAUUGCAGUGCAGAGGCGCAUCUAGUUGCAUGCACUGCACUUCAGAAUCCCCACUUGACUCUGAAAAUGGGGGAAGCACCCCACCUGAUGACACAUUUUUACAGGACAAAAACAGCAAACAACAAGGUUGUUGUAAGGAGCUCUUAUUUUCAGUACAAGUCGGUGAACAAGAAUGAUCAAGUGAAUGAACGGGGAAGGCUCUUAUCAUUAUUUAAAAUGAUUCUUCAGAAAAUAAUAGCAUCACCAUGUAAAGAAAGACCUGCCCAAUUGAAACUGUUCAAAGACUUCCGUUGAAUAUGAAACUCAAGCACGUGUGAACAUUCAUCUCUUUCUGAGAAUGGUAUGUCUUGUUGGACUCUCUUGGCAAGUAAUGUACCUCUAUGCAUUCAGUUCAAGGGUGUCGGUGCCACUAAAUAUUCGUCCACUUAGCCCAAAAGAGUAAAACAUCUGAUAUGCAUUUCUUUCCCUUAGGUUACUGUCCUCCUAAUCUUGAGGAAAAAUAUACGGGACAAAGAAAGAAGGAAAGUUUGGGUCUAACAUUUCACACAUAGAUCAUUAUUCUGACAUAGCGGAGAAAUCAAUGGAGAGAUUUGUUUCAGUCUUAUCAUCAUUAGGAUUCUCCGCAUCUGGUUCUCGUGCUAGUGGUCUUCGUGCCCCUCUAAAAGAUAUUCGAGACACUUGUACCAAUAGGUGCCAACUGCUUGUAACAUAUGCUCAUCUACAUCCAUAACUUGGUCUCUAUUGACUUUAGGUUAAGUGGUAGUGUGGACUUUAGCCAUUUCGCUUAUACACACCAACCAACAAGAGGAGUCAGAAGACUGGACUAGCACUGCACAGAUGCUGAAUUUGUAAGAACAUGGAAUGGAGAAUGUAUAUUGGCUGAGAGUCCUAACUCAUUUCAAUAGCAGGAACUUUGGAUUCUAUUUUUCUCUUAGAGAAUGUAAGUGCAACCGUUCAGUUAUUAUUUCUUUUUUCUAUAAUAACUUUACUUUUACUUUUA